AUGCGACUCGAUAAAUAUCUCCAAUCCUCCCCAACAUCACAAUCCUCUGAUCAACCCUUCUAUUCCAUCAAGGUUUGCUAUGUACAUCAUUUCCAAAUUUUUUUCUCUCAUUUAUCACCUUUGAUUUUUGUUAUCGAAAAAUCCUUGAUUUUUUUCAUUUUCUUUUUCAAUAUUUUUGCCCUGAAAAAACGUAGGACGAAAUAA